AGCAACCCAACUCAAAAUUCCCCACCUUUUUGGCAUCUAGUCCUCCUGUUCAAUCCCAAAGACCAAAGAAAGAGUAGAGGAAACAACUCAACUCACGAGAAAGAAAAAGAGUAGAAAUAACCCAACAAAUUCACACGCUCUUUCAACUUCAAACUCCUGGUAUCGGUCGUUGAUUUCGCAUUUUCUCCAUUCCCGAAGAGCACGUUGCACGCUGCACGUUGCGGCCCCUUCGUUAGACCAAUUCGCCGCAUAAACAAAACCCUUUUCUCAAGUUAACCCCCAAAUCAUUACCCCCCCUUUUCCCCCCUGAACUAUUGGACAUUGGAAUUGUAUAUAAAGAAACAAGUUCAUAAAGAUCUGCCAUGAGAACAAUUCCCUUCCCUUCUUCUGCAAACUAAGGAAUUACUUGCCUUCAAUUCUGAUAAAUUGCAUUGUAAGAUUCUAAUAUGAGUGGCAAUGACCAAACUUCUGGUGCUAGUCACAACAUUAGGGCUUUAAUUUCCAACGCUGCUUCUGGUGCUGCUGCUGGGGCAAUAGCGGCUACAUUUGUGUGCCCAUUGGAUGUGAUCAAGACUAGGCUACAAGUUCAUGGUCUUCCUCAUGGGCAAAAAGGUAGUGUUAUUGUCACGGGCUUGAAAAAUAUAGUAAGGAAUGAAGGAUUUAGGGGAAUGUACCGUGGCCUAUCACCAACAAUACUUGCACUACUUCCAAACUGGGCAGUUUACUUCACAAGUUAUGAGCAACUAAAGGCCCUGCUUCGUUCACGUGAUGGUUGCAAUGAACUCACGACAAUUGGAAAUAUUAUAGCUGCUGCUGGUGCUGGGGCAGCAACAGCGAUUUCUACAAAUCCAUUGUGGGUUGUCAAGACAAGACUUCAAACGCAAGGAAUGAGGCCUGGUGUUGUUCCAUACAAGAGCGUUCUUAGUGCUUUGACAAGGAUUACACACGAGGAAGGCAUACGAGGCCUUUAUAGUGGCAUUGUUCCUUCAUUGGCUGGCGUAAGUCAUGUUGCAAUUCAGUUUCCAGCAUACGAGAAGAUCAAGUCUUACAUGGCAGAAAAAGAUAACACAACUGUUGACAAGCUAACUCCUGGGAGUGUUGCCAUUGCAUCAUCAAUUUCAAAAGUAUUUGCCUCUGUAAUGACCUAUCCACAUGAGGUGAUACGAUCUCGGUUGCAAGAACAAGGGCAGGCAAAAAAUAUUGGUGUACAAUAUGCAGGGGUUAUCGACUGUACUAAAAAGGUGUUUCAAAAAGAAGGCAUUGCAGGCUUUUAUCGUGGUUGUGCUACCAAUCUAUUAAGAACAACACCAUCUGCUGUUAUUACAUUCACUAGUUAUGAGAUGAUACACAGGUUUUUGGAGCAAACUAUGCCUCGGGACAAGGGGUAUCCUCAAGGCCGUUCUAAAUCCAAUGAACUUAACAAGCCCCACCCCAGAAGCCAGUGGCACUGAUAGAGGGAAACCACCAUCUCAGUCUAACACAAAAUCUUCAUCAAUUCCUCCCGGAAACAAAGAGCACCUAACAAGACAUUGAUUUCCAUUUAUGUUUUUUUUUUCCCUACAUUUAAUUUAUAACUUAGUGGAUCUGAUUUUCUUUUUAGUUUUUGGGCAUGGAAAUUGCUCAAUUUUACCAGAAUUCUGCAUUAUGUUUAUAGUGUAGCAAAGAAAUAAAGGUGAAAAAAAGUGAAUAAGAAUAAGGUCAUCUUCUCAAGCAUAAUAAAAUGGAGCAAAAAAAUGUGGAACUUCCAUUUGGCUUUGAGACUUAA